rnacentral:lncRNA from 1 species
CACAGUUUGGUUUGUCCUGAAACCCCUGAUCCACCUUGCUCUCAGUAUUCACCUCAAGGUCUAGGGACCUUGAAACCUUUGUUUAUGUCCCCCACAAAGGAACAAGGGUAGAGGGAGGGUCUGGAAAGAAAGAAGAGGGAAGAAUUGGAAAGUCUUCCUUGUUCCCUGUGACCUCAGGAGCUCCCCACCCUCACUUCUCACUUUCCCACUCUCACCCAAACCGCCUGAUCUGAGAUGUAGAACAGUCAUUUACAGGAGGCUCUUCCGACCCUGGAGUCUCUCCAUUCUGAAAGCAAGAGAGGGAAUGGAGCCUAAUGUCUUGAAUUAGGCAGACGGGUUCCAGGUACAGGUUGCUCAAGAUUUUCCCCCUAGUGGACAGUGGAGUAUUGCUGGUGUCACCCUGGAAUCAGCAGCUUGUACUUCCCAAGGACCCAGGGAUGACUAGCUCAGGUUGUCUGGAGAUGCAAAUAGGAGCCAGGAACUAACCUGUGCAUCUCCAGGACCCGUGUCCUCAGAGCCUGGCACUUAGGUGGUUCCUGGGUGUGUAGGUCUGUGUGCUGGUAUAGAGUUGCUGGCAGUGGGUAGGGGAGCAAGUGUUGCCCCCUGCCCCCACAAUCCCAUCUCUGGAUCUAGAUCAGUUUAGACCACUUGGGACCUCUGACUCCUGGUAUUUCCUCUCCUCACUCUCUGUGUAGGUUUUGUGACCCAGUUAC